rnacentral:lncRNA from 1 species
GCUAGUUAUUAAUCUGGUUCUACUACUGUAAAAGUAUGGAAUAUGGUGAGGGUAAAAUGAAAUGGCUUGGGGCAGGGCAAUAGUAGAAUAAUGAAAGCACUGGAGAGUAGGAGAGAUAAAUGAAGGAAGGAACACUGUAACUUUCUCUUUGACUCUGUACUUCUUUUAUGUUGUCCACUCAUUUUUUUUUUUCCUUUCCUUCCUUGCAGGGAGAAGGUCACUCUGAUGUGAUGGAAAGGCAGAAAUCAAUGAUGGCUGGCUCCUCAGUGAUAUGAGUCAAUCCAUCAGACAGAAUGAUGGCAGUCACCCAGCCUUCACAGCCACCACCACCAUGCUGGCAAAUGUCACAUUUGGAAUUCAUUUGCAUAGCUGGGUAGCACUCCCUGUGGAGUUACAUUGAACAAUUUUGCAGCUGUGACAGCUUGAAAUAGAAAAGCUAAUGCAGCUAUCAACUUCCGCUGUGCCUUGUUUCCUUAAAAUCUAGCUGGGAAAUCUUGUUACAGAAAGGAGGAAGAUCACGUAAAAUGGAAGGGAAACUGGUGCAAAGCUUUCAGGAACCAAGCACGUCUGGGUGGCGUUUGGAAGAGGCAUACAGGGACAUAGAGGCAUGGUUUCCCACCGACUGAGAUGAAGCUUCUCUUCCUAACAUCCUUCCACAGAAAGCAGAUAGCCAAAAGAUAUUUUUGACUGAAUGGAUGGAGGAAGAUGAGGAGUGAAGACCCCAAUUUCUUUCCCCUCAUAACGAAGUCAAAAGGGGACUCCAUUAUGAAGGAGUGUUGGUGAGAGAAUGUGGAUCCUUACAGCAAAUUGGAACUGUAUGAGAGAUGGAAGAUUUAAUCCAAGCUGUGCCAAGGCUCACCACCCUAGACAGGUCUGUGAAGAUGACAGGCUGAGACUUGUUUUACAACCUACCCUUUUCCUCGUCCCCAGUGCCGCCACUCCAUCCUGAAUUUCACUACCACAAUCAUCUCCUAAGGGGUCCACUUUGCAACCCCAUUCACAAGAUGUCCAUAGACUUUUCAAAACACAUAUAUAUAAAUUGUCUCUGCUGUUCUUACAACAAAAUAAUGGCUUCCCAUUUUCUGUGUAAAAAUAAAUAAAUAAGACGCCCUAAGUGUUUUGUUCCAGUCUAGUGCUCUCGUAUCUGCUGUUGCUUCUUUGACCCCUUUUUGGUUCCUUACAAGCACCAGCCCUCUCUCUCUGUCCUGACCUAUGCAUGUGAAAUGAUACUAAAGACCUCUCACCAAAACCUUUCUUCCACUUUCUUGUGAUGAACUCCUAUCGAUCUUUCAGAACAUGGGCUAAACGUCUCAGCAAAGCCAUACCGGAAACCACAUUGGCCUUAUUAUGCUUUAUAAUGUACAUAUUAUGUAUUUUCCAUGAAGCACCUACUGUGACUGUGAUAAAAUAAUAGCUUAAAUAACUAUUCAGUUGUGCUUUUUUGACUAUCUGGUUCAUAAACCUUAGAGAGAGAUUAAGAAGAAAGACGGCUGCAGGGGUGCAGUACUCCUUAUUGUAUAAUCUUCCGCAUGAUUCAACACCACAUUCCAUUUAUUGUUCAAUAGCAUUUCAUUGUACAGAAAAUCCAAAAUUUGUUUCUCUAUUACCAAUUGGAAGUUUAGGCUCCUUCUAGAUUUUGGCUUUGAUGAGUACAGUUGCUUUGAAAAGUUCUUUGGGUGGUUACAUGUUUUCAUUUCUCUUGGGUAAAUAAAUGUUUCUUCUAAGAUGAGGAAAUUCCCUUCUCUUUCUACGUUCUCAGCAAUUUCAUUAUGAAUUGAUUUGAAUUUUGUCAACUGUUAUGCUUCCAUUUAUUGAAAUAAUCUUAAGUUUUGUUCUGUUUAGUUUCUUAAUAAGAUCAAUUAUAUUUUUUAAAGAGUUAAAUCAGCCCUGCAUUUCUGGGAAAAAAAAACCCAGGUGGUCGUGAUAGAUAUUGCCAUGUUACAUUUAGAAUAAUUUUCUAAUUUUUAUUAGAAGCUGUGUCAUCUGUAGUUCUUUUUUUAUUAUAAUGUCAUUUAUUUUGCUAUGGCUAUAGUGGUGGCCUGAUAGAUGAGUUAAAGCCUG